AGCGAACGCUGGCGGCAGGCCUAACACAUGCAAGUCGAACGAACCUUUCGGGGUUAGUGGCGGACGGGUGAGUAACACGUGGGAACGUGCCUUUAGGUUCGGAAUAACUCAGGGAAACUUGUGCUAAUACCGAAUGUGCCCUUCGGGGGAAAGAUUUAUCGCCUUUAGAGCGGCCCGCGUCUGAUUAGCUAGUUGGUUGAGGUAAUGGCUCACCAAGGCGACGAUCAGUAGCUGGUCUGAGAGGAUGAUCAGCCACAUUGGGACUGAGACACGGCCCAAACUCCUACGGGAGGCAGCAGUGGGGAAUAUUGCGCAAUGGGCGAAAGCAUGACGCAGCCAUGCCGCGUGAAUGAUGAAGGUCUUAGGAUUGUAAAAUUCUUUCACCGGGGACGAUAAUGACGGUACCCGGAGAAGAAGCCCCGGCUAACUUCGUG
rnacentral:rRNA from 1 species